AGUGCGACAGACAGCCUCAGAGCUGGUGGGGAGACAGCAUGCCACUGGAAAAAUUCGUAGACAUGGAAUUCCUGGAUCAAAUGGAGGAGAUGGAAGAUUGAGAGCAGAGUGCAAGAAUGGGAAGAGGGCUUCGUGCCCUGUGCACGUUUGCCACCUAGUGACCAAACUGAAUGGUGUGCUUCUCACCUCAGCGUGAUAGCCUGACCUUGACUCCUGAGUUCCACGAUCGCUUCACAACUGCAAGUCACCAUCAUACAAAAUUUGAGUUUCCCUAAGUCCGCGCCUUUGAGAGCUUUGGAACGAUAUGCAAGUUCAAGUCACCAUCCUGUUUCUUGCUACCUCCUGUGAGAAGACCAACAUUUGGGUUACACUUGUUUCUACUCUUGUUCUUCUGCUUGUUAUUGUUGCCUCUGCAGCCAUUGAUCACACACGUGUUGUCAUACAAAAACUGGUUAGCCUUUUUAUUUGUCUUGUGAAUUUUAUCAUUUGGUUCUUAAGUAUUACAAAUUAAUAUUGUGUACUCUCAUUGAUAUACAACUUGCAGUCAUUGUAAAUAUGCGUGAGUUAGGGGUGAGAAUGGCAUGCAAGCAAAAGAACAAGGAGAGGGAUGAUAGAGAUGCAAGAAGAGUAAAGAGGGCAAGAAAGUUUAUGUUAAUAGCGAACACAAUGAAAGUUCUUUAAAUGCUUGAUAAUGGUGAAAGCAACACUUCCUAGGGCAUAUUUUUGGUGUUAAUGAACCUACACAUCAUACAAUAAAGAAAAUUGAGAA
rnacentral:lncRNA from 1 species